rnacentral:rRNA from 1 species
GACGAACGCUGGCGGCGUGCCUAAUACAUGCAAGUAGAACGCUGAAGAGAGGAGCUUGCUCUUCUUGGAAGAGUUGCGAACGGGUGAGUAACGCGUAGGUAACCUGCCUUGUAGCGGGGGAUAACUAUUGGAAACGAUAGCUAAUACCGCAUAACAAUGGAUGACACAUGUCAUUUAUUUGAAAGGGGCAACUGCUCCACUACAAGAUGGACCUGCGUUGUAUUAGCUAGUAGGUGAGGUAACGGCUCACCUAGGCGACGAUACAUAGCCGACCUGAGAGGGUGAUCGGCCACACUGGGACUGAGACACGGCCCAGACUCCUACGGGAGGCAGCAGUAGGGAAUCUUCGGCAAUGGGGGCAACCCUGACCGAGCAACGCCGCGUGAGUGAAGAAGGUUUUCGGAUCGUAAAGCUCUGUUGUAAGUCAAGAACGAGUGUGAGAGUGGAAAGUUCACACUGUGACGGUAGCUUACCAGAAAGGGACGGCUAACUACGUGCCAGCAGCCGCCGCAG